rnacentral:lncRNA from 12 species
UGCGCGAGGCCGGGCGGGGCCGGGCCGGGCCGGGCCGGGCCGGGAGAGGGUCGGCCGGGUCUCGGGGGACGACCGGAAGCAAGCGCUCCCGUGCCGAGGGAGGGCGACUGACAACUCCGCGGCGCGGGCGAAAUUCCUGACACGUCUCCUCCUCCCACCUGUUCCUAUUACCCUGUUGCUGUCAUCUCCAACCGAACAAGAUCCCUGGGUCAACAGAACUCAAAACUCCCGUGGGAGGAUACAUCACUUAGAGCCUCGCUGCCUGUCCUUCUCAUCCUCCUUCUCCUAUGAGUAGGAUUAUAUGGUUUUUCUGUUUCCUCCUAUCUUCCUGCCAUACGCCAUCUGAACCAUCUAAACCUCAAUGGGCUCAUCUGUAAAAUGAGUCAGUAUUUCCUACAUCACAGUGGUAGCAGGAAGAUUAAAGGCUAUGAUACAUCAGUAAUGCACUUAGCACAGUGUCUGGCACAGAGGAAGCAGUAGGUAAAUACAAGUGUGUUGUUACCCACCACGUGACCCUGAGAAACCUACAUUCUCUAAUCCAACGUGAGCGGUAAUACACAACAGAAGAUGUCAGGUCGCAGGCUGUUCCCUAGCUUUAUCAUUUUCUUAAGAUCUUCUUUAUUUACUUGAGACGGGGGAGGGGGGGAGCAGAGGAAGAGAGACAGAGGUAGAGAAUCCCAAGAAGGCUCCCCUCUCCACCUGCUGAGCAGGGAGCCCGACCUGAGGAUUGACCCCGCGACUCUGAGACCAUGACCUGAGCUGAAAUCAAGAGUCAGAGGGCUUACCUGACUGAGCCACCCAGGUGCCCAUGUUCCCUGGCUUUGAAAGUCUAAGGUAUAUGGAAUGAGAUUUGUGUCUGGAGGCAAUACAUGAUUUAAAUUUGCCUCAGGCCCCCAUGUCUCUUGAUUCUCCCAUGUCUGGUUGGACAUGUACGGUAGAGUGGCUGUCCAGCACCUGUUUACCCCCCACAGUUGCUUUUGAUGAAUUUUCUCCCUCUCCCUGUCGCCCCUGCCCCGGGGCUCUGCCUUCCUGUGAGUUGAG